AGCGAACGCUGGCGGCAGGCCUAACACAUGCAAGUCGAACGGAGUCUUCGGACUUAGUGGCGGACGGGUGAGUAACACGUGGGAACGUGCCUUUAGGUUCGGAAUAACUCAGGGAAACUUGUGCUAAUACCGAAUGUGCCCUUCGGGGGAAAGAUUUAUCGCCUUUAGAGCGGCCCGCGUCUGAUCAGCUAGUUGGUGAGGUAAUGGCUCACCAAGGCUACGAUCAGUAGCUGGUCUGAGAGGAUGACCAGCCACAUUGGGACUGAGACACGGCCCAAACUCCUACGGGAGGCAGCAGUGGGGAAUCUUGCGCAAUGGGCGAAAGCCUGACGCAGCCAUGCCGCGUGGAUGAUGAAGGUCUUAGGAUUGUAAAAUCCUUUCACCGGUGAAGAUAAUGACUGUAGCCGGAGAAGAAGCCCCGGCUAACUUCGUGCCAGCCGCCGCCGUAAAAC
rnacentral:rRNA from 1 species